rnacentral:rRNA from 1 species
AACCACAAACUUAGACAAUAUAUCACCAUAUUGUUCGCCAGAGAACUACAAGCGCUAGCUUAAAACCCAAAGGACUUGGCGGUAUCCCAUACCCACCUAGAGGAGCCUGUUCUAUAACCGAUAAUCCCCGUUCAACCUCACCACUUCUUGCCAUUACCGUCUAUAUACCGCCGUCGUCAGCUCACCCUGUGAAGGACUAAAAGUAAGCAAAAAGGAUUUAAACUCCAAAACGUCAGGUCGAGGUGUAGCAAAUGAAGUGGGAAGAAAUGGGCUACAUUUU